rnacentral:lncRNA from 1 species
UAUGAAUGAUUUUUAUACGACCGCAAAAUUUGAAAAAUUUUUCGUCGUAUAUUGCUAUCACGUUGGCGUCGGCGUCGUCGUCGUCGUCGUCGUCGUCGUCGUCCGAAUACUUUUAGUUUUCGCACUCUAACUUUAGUAAAAGUGAAUGGAAAUCUAUGAAAUUUUAACACAAGGUUUAUGACCACAAAAGGAAGGUUGGUAUUGAUUUUGGGAGUUUUGGUCCCAACAUUUUAGGAAUUAGGGGCCAAAAAGGGCCCAAAUAAGCAUUUUCUUGGUUUUCGCACUAUAACUUUAGUUUAAGUUAAUAGAAAUCUAUGAAAUUUUUGACACAAGGUUUAUGACCACAAAAGAACGGUUGGGAUUGAUUUUGGGAGUUUUGGUUUCAACAGUUUAGGAAUUAGGGGCCAAAAAAGGGCCCAAAUAAGCAUUAUUCUUGGUUUUCGCACAAUAACUUUAGUUUAAGUAAAUAGAAAUCAAUGAAAUUUAAACACAAUGUUAAUGACUACAAAAGGAAGG